GGGGCUGACCGGACUUGACAGGAUUGAUUCAGGUAUGUAAGCACGCCGAGCGUUGGUGUACUUUGGCUCGAAAAUCUCAAAACACUAACCUAAUUUUAAUUGGCGAGUAUAACUACGCCAUGGCUGCCUAGUUCUAGGAACUAACGCGCCUUUGCUCUCUAAGCGAGUUGCCUGUUGAUUCUUAGGUAGAGCAUCAUAACCAAUAGGAUAAGGGAUUAAAUGCUUUGAUUAAUCCACGAAAAAUAUAAAAGCUACGGUAUAAGAAUGGUUUGUAUUUGCACCUGAUUGUACCCGACAAUUAAGCAAGUACUAAGCGUGUAGAAAGCAUAUUGGGACUUUAUCUGGACGUGGGUUCGACUCCCACCAGCUCCACUC
rnacentral:tmRNA from 1 species